rnacentral:rRNA from 1 species
ACCCGCUGAACUUAAGCAUAUCAAUAAGCGGAGGAAAAGAAACUAACAAGGAUUCCCUUAGUAACGGCGAGUGAAGUGGGAAAAGCUCAAAUUUUAAAUCUACCUGGUUUCCAGGUCGAAUUGUAAUUUGAAGAAGCGUUUUCGUUUUUUUUCGAUCUGGUUGAAGUUCUUUGGAACAAGACAUCAUGGAGGGUGAGAAUCCCGUGCAUGAUCAGAUCGUGAUUUUUCAGAUACGCUCUCUAAGAGUCGAGUUGUUUGGGAAUGCAGCUCAAAAUGGGUGGUAGACUUCACCUAAGGCUAAAUAUUAGCGAGAGACCGAUAGCGAACAAGUACCGUGAGGGAAAGAUGAAAAGAACUUUGAAAAGAGAGUUAAAUGGUACGUGAAAUUGUUGAAAGGGAAACGAUUGAAGUCAGUCGUGCCGUUGAGAAAUCAACUUAGCGAGUUUCAGUUUUUGAAUUGGAGAUAGGGUCAAACCAUCACGGUUUUAAAAUUGGGGCUUGUUGGGUGUACUUUCUUUUUUGGCAGGUCAGCGUCGAUUUUGGGGGUUGUAAAAUGACUGGGGGAAUGUAGCUCCCUUCGGGGAGUGUUAUAGACCCUGGGGGAUGCAGCCCGCGGGAUCGAGGAUUGCAGCAAAUGCUUCUUGGCUUGUCGCCUGAUCUCUGGAUGUUACCUUGCUUGUGACAACAUUCUUGCUACCUGCGAGUACUAAUGCUCACUAGGUUAGAGCGAUCAAAAAUUUUGCUAAGGAUGCUGACGUAAUGGCUUUAAACGACCCGUCUUGAAACACGGACCAAGGAGUCUAACAUAUGU